rnacentral:tRNA from 1 species
AUUAUUUUGGCAGAAUUAGUGCAUUAAAUUUAGGAUUUAAUUAUAUAUAUAUAAUUUAUAUAGAUAAUA